GACGUAGGGCGCGAGCGUUGUCCGGAUUUAUUGGGCGUAAAGAGCUCGUAGGCGGCUUGUCGCGUCGAAUGUGAAAUCUCAGGGCUCAACUCUGACAUUGCAUUCGAUACGGGCAGGCUAGAGUUCGGUAGGGGAGACUGGAAUUCCUGGUGUAGCGGUGAAAUGCGCAGAUAUCAGGAGGAACACCGGUGGCGAAAGCGGGUCUCUGGGCCGAUACUGACGCUGAGGAGCGAAAGCGUGGGGAGCGAACAGG
rnacentral:rRNA from 1 species